CUCAACAAACACUGAUGAAGAGCCUCCUAGGAUGAAUAAGGAAUUGCCCCCACUCCUCAAUCUCUGGCCUGGGGAAGCCUGAUCCGCGAACAGGUCAUGACGUCAUGAAAUCACAGGGAGCUAGAGGGGGUGUGGUGACGAAAUUUCACAAAUGCCCACACCAAGCUCUUGCAGAAGAGGUCUUCGUGUCUUACAUGCAGUGGCUACUGCAGAUGACAGCAGACCACACGGAAGGAUGGGGGCAGCAGGGUGGUUUGGAGAAAAGGACAACAGAUUCGAGAAGAGACCUGCAAACAACAAGAGAAACGUACCCACGGAGAAUAACUUUAGCUGUUGCACUGCUUCUGGGCAGGCUUUGCCUCCACAUGGUCCUGGCACUGUCCUUCCUCCACCUGGGGUGAUCCUGCAGGGGAUGGAGGAAGCAGGGGUGUUCCACUGCCCCUCACAAAUCCCCUGGGCGGCUGUGGGAAGAAGAGCGGACACCCAGCAGCAGAGGGCGCCCCUGCUCCGGUUGCACCCGGUCUCCUGCGACCCACCGUGAUAAGGUGGCAGAACCCAUCAUCGAAAGAUACCCGACUUAUCAGUCGCCAAAUGACAUCUGUGAUUUGGAGUCCAAACUCUAGUGAGUUUUCCUUUCAAGAAACCAAGUCUAAGAAGCUGUAUACACCGGACUGUGAGCUCACCAUUUCUAUCCCUGACCUUUGCACAGUGCCUGGCACAUAGUAGAUGCUUAGCAAAUUU